CCCACAGAUGAGAGGCCAAUGAAGACUAGGACAAUGCAGAGACAAUCCUUGAGGAACAAAACCAGGAGAUGUCAUCACUGGAGGACUGGAACUGAUCAUCGAGGGGAUCAUCCAGAGAGCUCCACUGAUUUAGAUCCAGCACCCAGUGGCUCAAUGCAGGAAAACCAUGAAAAAAGAGGAGAACCAAUCAGUCAAUCAAGACCAUCAACUCCUGAGAUGAGCAACACAGAGGUCCUGCAUCCACCAUCU